GAUGAACGCUGGCGGCGUGCCUAAUACAUGCAAGUCGAACGAAACUUCUUUAUCACCGAGUGCUUGCACUCACCGAUAAAGAGUUGAGUGGCGAACGGGUGAGUAACACGUGGGCAACCUGCCCAAAAGAGGGGGAUAACACUUGGAAACAGGUGCUAAUACCGCAUAACCAUAGUUACCGCAUGGUAACUAUGUAAAAGGUGGCUAUACUACCGCUUUUGGAUGGGCCCGCGGCGCAUUAGCUAGUUGGUAGGGUAAAGGCUUACCAAGGCAAUGAUGCGUAGCCGAAGUGAGAGGGUGAUCGGCGACAUGGGGACGUAGACACGGCCCAAACUCCUACGGGAGGCAGCAGUAGGGAAUCUUCCACAGUGGGCGAAAGCCUGAUGGAGCAACGCCGCGUGGGUGAAGAAGGUCUUCGGAUCGUAAAACCCUGUUGUUAGAGAAGAAAGUGCGUGAGAGUAACUGUUCACGUUUCGACGGUAUCUAACCAGAAAGCCACUGCUAACUACGUG
rnacentral:rRNA from 1 species